GGUUCUCAACACCUGUCAUUCAACUCUUCCCCCGGCCGCUACUGGAGAGAGAAGGUGGACACAAUAGUAGCGCCAGCAGGUAGCUCUUGUGUUGCUGAAAUGGUCUAACCACUUUGAUUAAAGUAGGAAACUAGCAACAAUAAACAAGGAGAGAUUCGUGAAAGAGAAGUUAUACAACGUCGUGGAGCUGCCGACCCCGUCCAAACUGCGUGUGAAUUGAAUAUUCCGGCUGUUUUUUUGGUGAGACUCUACUGGGAGACAGAACUGUGCUGCUCAAGUCACCGCCGUCAUACUGCCUCCUGGGUUUCAUCUUCAUCACCACCAUCUUCUUACCGCUCACUAGACCUUCGCCAUCAUCAUCUCCACUACUCACAAGAUUUUCACGUCGUUUCCCUACUCUGUUCUCUGAGGAGCCAGGAUGGACAGUUUUACCUGCUAAGGGUGGUGGUAGGAACUUGAGUGCACUCAAACUAAUGAAACAGGGUUGAACAAACAGACUGAUUUAGUAUUCCCCUGGUUAUCUCUAUGAAAUAAGAGAUCUCAGUUUUUGGUUAAUUUGGUUUCAUAUUUUUAUUUUCUUUGUCAGGUUUUUAAUAUUUAAGUUGUGGUUUGAGUACAUUGGGUUUGAAGCUAAUUGGCCUAAUUGGCCUAUCUACCAAACUGAUUUUGAUUACCAUACUGAAUCUGUAAGAGCCAAAUAGUGCUCUUGGUAUAAAUAGGAACCAAUCUUUGGUUCCUCAGGUGUAAACGGGAAGCACAUACAGUUUUUGACCACGCACAUGCAUACACACACCCACCAACGCCACACAAGCAGUAAUUUGUCUGGAAAACCAACGAAUAUCUCAUGGAAAUAAAUUGAACCAAUGGCGUUAACAGCAAAUAUGACUUGGACUUUCAUUGAUCAAAAAGGUAAAAAGUGCGUCAAUUACUCUACCCGUAGACGAGCACCUCAGGGGCUUAAAGCUUGGGUUUAGCCUCAACAGAAUCAUUUAGUUUAGCCAUGCUAGACUUCUGGUAAAAGAUUAUUUUGCAUAAUCUCAAGUUUUAAAGUAGUACUGGUCGUGGGUGCAAUUUGUUUCAUGCCCAAGCUACGAGUUAAAUGAAGACAGG